rnacentral:rRNA from 1 species
AUUGAACGCUGGCGGCAGGCCUAACACAUGCAAGUCGAGCGGAUGAGUGGAGCUUGCUCCAUGAUUCAGCGGCGGACGGGUGAGUAAUGCCUAGGAAUCUGCCUGGUAGUGGGGGACAACGUUUCGAAAGGAACGCUAAUACCGCAUACGUCCUACGGGAGAAAGUGGGGGAUCUUCGGACCUCACGCUAUCAGAUGAGCCUAGGUCGGAUUAGCUAGUUGGGGAGGUAAAGGCUCACCAAGGCGACGAUCCGUAACUGGUCUGAGAGGAUGAGCAGUCACACUGGAACGGAGACACGGUCCAGACUCCUACGGGAGGCAGCAGUGGGGAAUAUUGGACAAUGGGCGAAAGCCUGAUCCAGCCAUGCCGCGUGUGUGAAGAAGGUCUUCGGAUUGUAAAGCACUUUAAGUUGGGAGGAAGGGCAGUAAGUUAAUACCUUGCUGUUUUGACGUUACCAACAGAAUAAGCACCGGCUAACUUCGUGCCAGCCGCCGCAGUAACAC